GACAGAGGGUGCAAACGUUGUUCGGAAUUACUGGGCGUAAAGGGCUCGUAGGUGGCCAACUAAGUCAGACGUGAAAUCCCUCGGCUUAACCGGGGAACUGCGUCUGAUACUGGAUGGCUUGAGUUUGGGAGAGGGAUGCGGAAUUCCAGGUGUAGCGGUGAAAUGCGUAGAUAUCUGGAGGAACACCGGUGGCGAAGGCGGCAUCCUGGACCAACACUGACACUGAGAGACGAAAGCUAGGGGAGCGAAUGGG
rnacentral:rRNA from 1 species